UCAUGUUUUCCCGCCCUUUUUUCCCCUCAAGUUUUCCCGCCCUUUUUUCCCCUCACGUUUUCCCGCCCUUUUUUCCCCUCACGUUUUCCCGCCCUUUUUUCCCCUCAUGUUUUCCCGCCCUUUUUUCCCCUCACGUUUUCCCGCCCUUUUUUCCCCUCACGUUUUCCCGCCCUUUUUUCCCCUCACGUUUUCCCGCCCUUUUUUCCCCCUCACAUUUCCCUCCGUUUUCACUUCACAUUUCCUCCCUUUCUCCCUUCACAUUUCCCACCCUUCCCCUCUCACAUUUUUCACUCUUUUCCCCUUACAUUUCCUGCACUUUUUCCCCCUCACAUCUCCCACUCUUUUUUCCCCUCACAUUUCCCAUCCUUUUCCUCUCACCUUCGUCGCCAUUUUCCCCUCACGUUUCCCUCACGUUUCUCACCAUUUUCUCUCCUCAAGCUUCCCUCAAUUUUCCUCUCACAUUUCCCAUUUUCUCCUCACAUUUCUCAAUCUUUUCCCCUGACAUUUCCCUCCAUUUUCCCCUGACAUUUCCCUCCCUUUUCUCCUCACAUUUCCCACCCUUUUCUCCUCAGAUUUCCCACCCUUUUCCCCUAAUGUUUCCCUCUAUUUUCCCCUCACAUUUCCCUCCAUUUCCCCUCAUGUUUUCCCCAUUUUCUCCCCUCACAUUUCCAUCCCUUUUCCCCUCACGUUUUCCCCAUUUUCCCCUCACGUUCCCCUCCCUUUCCCCCUCAUGCUUCCCACUCUUCUCCCCUCACAUUUCCUCCGUUUUCCUCUCACAUUUCCCCUCCAUUUCCCCCUCACAUUUCUCUCCAUUUUCCCCUCAUGUUUUCCGCAUUUUCCCCUCAUAUUUCCUGCCCUUUUCUCCCCUCACAUUUCCCUCCCUUUCCCCCCACGCUUCCCACUCUUCUCCCCUCACAUUUCCUCCAUUUUCCCCUCACAUUUCUCUCCAUUUUCCCCUCAUGUUUUCCGCAUUUUCCCCUCAAGUUUCCCUCCAUUUUCCCCUCACAUUUCCCUCCAUUUCCCCUCCCAUUCCCA
rnacentral:lncRNA from 1 species